rnacentral:rRNA from 1 species
AACGAACGCUGGCGGCAGGCUUAACACAUGCAAGUCGAACGCCCCGCAAGGGGAGUGGCAGACGGGUGAGUAACGCGUGGGAAUCUACCUAGUUCUACGGAACAACAGAGGGAAACUUCUGCUAAUACCGUAUACGCCCUAAGGGGGAAAGAUUUAUCGGAAUUAGAUGAGCCCGCGUAAGAUUAGCUAGUUGGUGGGGUAAUGGCCUACCAAGGCGACGAUCUUUAGCUGGUCUGAGAGGAUGAUCAGCCACACUGGGACUGAGACACGGCCCAGACUCCUACGGGAGGCAGCAGUGGGGAAUAUUGGACAAUGGGCGCAAGCCUGAUCCAGCCAUGCCGCGUGAGUGACGUAGGCCCUAGGGUUGUAAAGCUCUUUCAGUGGGGACGAUAAUGACGGUACCCACAGAAGAAGCCCCGGCUAACUUCGUGCCAGCCGCCGCAGUAAAAC